CACAUGUGCAAACUUAUCUUUUUGGAAUCAGAAUCAGGAAACUUUAUUAAUGCCUGAGGUAGUAAUGUAAAAAGCUGGCAGUUUAUUGUGCAAGCUGACGUGGUUGAAGUAACCCAAAAUAGCAAUGAAGGCACUCCAUUCCUGAGAGUGUUACCGGGCCACGAGUCACGACAGAGUGAACAAUGUCACAUGCAGCUGUGGGGUUAGCAGAGGGAGGAACAUAAACAGCCACCAAGAUUACAUGGGUAAAUUCCCUGGGCAAAUAACACGGCCUGAGUUCAACAGCGCACAGUUCAAUGUCAGAGCAACAAGUCUGCUCUUACAUUGCUAUGUGAACAGGGUUACACCAUUGGUUGUUAACAAGAACGGCAAGCCCCUCCUCCUUUCUGUUUUCCGCACGUGAGUAACAACGUGGAAUCCCUGAAGAUGACAAAGAAGGACUUUAGGCCAAAAUGUAUAAAAGAAGAGUUCAAGAGAAUAACCGCUGUAAGCUUUGAAUCUACCUUCAUGGCUAAACUUGACCAUUAGACCCCAAAACUGAUGGAUGCAGUUUCAUCAAGGGGAGGAGCUAAAGGAGUGAGAGUAAGCAGAUGCUUCCUGAGCUAUGAUGGCAUUUGAAACAACUUUUCCUAAAUUAUGAAGGGUCCGUGGUUUUCUCAUCCACUUAAUUUAAACUCCGGUCAGCCAGUCAAAGAAGAAGAAGUCCAGACCACAAAAAGUCAUCACAGAUUCAUUUUGUUGGACAGUGAUUGCUUAAGGUUUGCAUAAUUUAUCCAUUCUGUAGCAGUAUUUGUCACAGUCUUUACUUAUAUGCUAAUGCAACUGUGUUUUGAUAUUUCUAAAGAAUAAUAAAGUAAUCAAAAACAGAAUAAGUGGAGACCUCAACAUUUAUGAAAAUACAGUUCUGCUCUGUUUAAACUAAUGUCAGUGUAUAAUGGCCUUGAAAUUACAUUAUUAUCAACAGUGUGUCAAGAUUUUGGUGUCAAGAUGAAAUAGUUUUUCCUCGUUGCACAUGCACAUAUACAAACCAAACCUGUACAAGUGAUACAUUUCUUGGCCUCUUGAGGGCACCAACGUCUCAACUAAACAACAGAGGUGGAAUUUGAAAAGUGGUCGUGUAUUUGUUUGCUUGUUUUCCCUCUUUUGUUGGUUAUGAGUCCAGAUGGUACACCACGGUUUUUCUCCAUGUACAGCACUUCUGUCUCUCUCCAGCAUAUCGGCCUGCCUGUGUUCCUGUAUUUUUAAAAACUCAUCUUGCUUUGAGAUGUAUUUAAGAUUUGAACUAUAAUGUAAUUAAUAAUCUCAAGAACACAAAACAAUUGUUUUUAGUAUAAAUUGAAGAUUUCUUUCUCAAAGUCAUCAGAGGGCUUUUGAAGUCUUACAUGAAUUUUGCUGUGAUGUCACAAGAGGGUGUGACAUUACAACAUUGUAGCUCAGUUAGCUAAGCAGACCUGUAAUGACCUGAAGUUAUGAAAAUAAUCAUAAUUGUACAUCUUGUUUAUGGCUUCUUUCUGAUAACUGCAAAUACAAACUGGUUACAGUGUGCAUUGUUGUAAAAAAAAGUAUAAUUCAAGUCACAGUUACCUCAAGGCAAGGUA